CUUCGCCACGAGUGGCAACCACUUUUAUUGGGCCUAAAGCGUCCGUAGCCGUUUUUGUAAAUUCUUUUUGAAAUCGUCAAGCCUAACUUGACGGUGUGCAGAGAAAACUGCAAGACUAGGGACCGGGAGGAGUCAGAGGUAUUUUUGGGGGAGCGGUAAAAUGCUAUAAUCCCAAAAGGACCACCUGUGGCGAAGGCGUCUGACUAGAACGGAUCCGACGGUGAGGGACGAAAGCCAGGGGAGCGAUCCGGAUUAGAUACCCGCGUAGUCC
rnacentral:rRNA from 1 species